rfam:Ovis aries breed Texel chromosome 7, whole genome shotgun sequence.
UUCCAGGUGGCUCAGUGGUAAAGAAUCUGCCUGCCAAGCAGGAGACUCGGGUUCGAUCUCUGGGUCAGGAAG